rnacentral:piRNA from 1 species
AGAGAUAGCAGAGUGGCGCAGCGGAAGC